rnacentral:rRNA from 1 species
UACAGAGGGUGCGAGCGUUAAUCGGAUUUACUGGGCGUAAAGCGUGCGUAGGCGGCUGAUUAAGUCGGAUGUGAAAUCCCUGAGCUUAACUUAGGAAUUGCAUUCGAUACUGGUCAGCUAGAGUAUGGGAGAGGAUGGUAGAAUUCCAGGUGUAGCGGUGAAAUGCGUAGAGAUCUGGAGGAAUACCGAUGGCGAAGGCAGCCAUCUGGCCUAAUACUGACGCUGAGGUACGAAAGCAUGGGGAGCAAAC